rnacentral:rRNA from 1 species
GAACGUAGCGAAAUGCGAUACUUGGUGUGAAUUGCAGAAUCCCGCGAACCAUCGAGUCUUUGAACGCAAGUUGCGCCCGAGGCCAUCAGGCUGAGGGCACGUCUGUUUGGGCGUCACGCAUCUCGUCGCCGACUCCCACGCCGUCUUCUUCCCGACCCGAAA